UACGUAGGGUGCGAGCGUUGUCCGGAAUUAUUGGGCGUAAAGAGCUUGUAGGCGGUCUGUCGCGUCUGCUGUGAAAGUCGGGGGGCUCAACCCUCGGAUGCCGGUGGAUACUGUCGGGCUUGAGUACGGAAGAGGCGAGUGGAAUUCCUGGUGUAGCGGUGAAAUGCGCAGAUAUCAGGAGGAACACCGAUUGCGAAGGCAGCUCGCUGGAACGUUACUGACGCUGAGACGCGAAAGCGUGGGGAGCAAACAGG
rnacentral:rRNA from 1 species